GAGAGAGAGAGAGAGAGAGAGAGAGAGAGAGAGAGAGAGAGAGAGAGAGAAGCUGGAGACUUCUGUUUGUCAUUAGAAUUUGAAAGUGGGACCGUUACUUUUGGCAUGGGAGACGUCCAUCACAGAGCUACUUUCUGUUUAGUAUUGAAAAUCCAGGAAUUUAAUCCAGCCUUGGCACCAAUGAGGAACUUUCUUUCUUUCUUUCUUUCUUUCUUUCUUUCUUUCUU